ACGUAGGGGGCGAGCGUUGUCCGGAAUUACUGGGCGUAAAGGGAGCGUAGGCGGUCGAUUAAGUUGGAUGUGAAAUACCCGGGCUUAACUUGGGGGGUGCAUCCAAUACUGGUUGACUAGAGUACAGGAGAGGAAAGCGGAAUUCCUAGUGUAGCGGUGAAAUGCAUAGAUAUUAGGAGGAACAUCGGUGGCGAAGGCGGCUUUCUGGACUGACACUGACGCUGAGGCUCGAAAGCGUGGGGAGCAAACAG
rnacentral:rRNA from 1 species